rnacentral:rRNA from 1 species
GAUUAACGCGAAGAACCUUACCAGCCCUUGACAUCCCGGUCGCGGAGAGCAGAGACGCACUCCUUCAGUUCGGCUGGACCGGAGACAGGUGCUGCAUGGCUGUCGUCAGCUCGUGUCGUGAGAUGUUGGGUUAAGUCCCGCAACGAGCGCAACCCUCGCCCUUAGUUGCCAUCAUUUAGUUGGGCACUCGAAGGGGACUGCCGGUGAUAAGCCGGAGGAAGGUGGGGAUGACGUCAAGUCCUCAUGGCCCUUACGGGCUGGGCUACACACGUGCUACAAUGGCGGUGACAGAGGGACGCGAAGGCGCAAGCCUUGGCAAAUCUCAAAAAGCCGUCUCAGUUCGGAUUGGGGUCUGCAACUCGACCCCAUGAAGUUGGAAUCGCUAGUAAUCGCAGAUCAGCACGCUGCGGUGAAUACGUUCCCGGGUCUUGUACACACCGAAU